rnacentral:rRNA from 1 species
GCUUGUCUCAAAGAUUAAGCCAUGCAUGUCUAAGUAUAAACAACUUUGUACUGUGAAACUGCGAAUGGCUCAUUAUAUCAGUUAUAGUCUACUCGAUAGUACCUUACUACUUGGAUAACCGUAGUAAUUCUAGAGCUAAUACAUGCGUAAAUACCCAACUGCUUGUCGGACGGGUAGCAUUUAUUAGAUUGAAACCAAUGCAGCUUCGGCUGGUAUUGUGGUGAAUCAUGAUAACUUUGCGGAUCGUAUGGCUUCACGCCGACGAUGAAUCAUUCAAGUUUCUGCCCUAUCAGCUUUGGAUGGUAGGGUAUUGGCCUACCAUGGCUUUGACGGGUAACGGAGAAUUGGGGUUCGGUUCCGGAGAGGGAGCCUGAGAGAUGGCUACCACAUCCAAGGAAGGCAGCAGG